rnacentral:rRNA from 1 species
UACGGAGGGUGCAAGCGUUAUCCGGAUUCACUGGGUUUAAAGGGUGCGUAGGUGGGCAGGUAAGUCAGUGGUGAAAUCUCCGGGCUUAACCCGGAAACUGCCAUUGAUACUAUCAGUCUUGAAUACCGUGGAGGUAAGCGGAAUAUGUCAUGUAGCGGUGAAAUGCUUAGGUAUGACAUAGAACACCAAUUGCGAAGGCAGCUUACUGCCCGAAUAUUGACACUGAGGCACGAAAGCGUGGGGAUCAAACAGG